rnacentral:rRNA from 1 species
GAUGAACGCUGGCGGCGUGCUUAAUACAUGCAAGUCGAGCGAAAGGACGCGAAGCUUGCUUCUCUGUUGUUAGCGGCGGACGGGAGAGAAACACGUGGAUAAUCUACCUAACUGACUGGGAUCAUCUCGGGACACCGGAGCAUACACCGGAUAAUCUUCUGAACCGUAUGGUUCAAAAGUGAAAGUCGGUCUUGCUGUCACUUAUCGAUGGAUCCGCGCUGCAUUAGCUAGUUGGUAAGGUAACGGCUUACCAAGGCAACGAGGCAUAGCCGACCGGAGAGGGGGGUCGGCCACAUUAGAACUGGAACGCGGACAAUACGACUACGGGAGGCAGCAGUAGGGUAUCUUCCGCAGUAGGCGAAAGCCUGGCGGAGUGACGCCGCGUGAGUGAUGGAGAUCUUCCGAUCGUGAUACUCUGUUAUUAGUUGUGAACAGAUGUGUAAGUAGCUGUGCACAUCUUGACGGUACCUAAUCAGAAAGCCACGGCUAACUACGUG